UGUCUAAUUCAUCAAUUUAAGAUGAAGUUAUAGCUAUUCAAAUUAAAUAAAAAUAUUUCAUAAAUAUUCUAUUUUCUUAUAAAACAAUAUUUAUAGAACUCUACGUAAAUAAUUUUUGUAGCGUAAAAGCAAAAUAAAUUCAUACAUAUAGUGGCACACGUAGCCAGGUAUACAAAAUAUUCUACAAUGACAUGUGGGCCCCCAAAAUAACCAAAAUAAACAUGACUGUAAACCUGCGAUUUCUAAAGGUGCGAAUCCAACAGCAAACCCUCGACAAAAUCGACGGUCUACAUAUUUCCCUGAGCCUGAAAUGUGUGAAAGGAGGGUGGUGAGUUUUUAUAAACCCAAUGAGUAAGCAAAGUUCAUCUAUAACAUCUAAAGCCGAGUAAAUGGAGACAAUUAAAACAUCUCUUCAUAAUAUGAUUCAUAACAUUAAAACUCAUUUCAACCUUAUAAAACAAUUUACAUUUCAUCAAAAAUAAUCAGCAAGGCUUACGACUCUCUUAAAACUUGGCUCGUGCCAAACUUAUACUCGGUGACACCUUGGCUCGGGGCAUCCAACUGAGUCUGUCAAGGUUUUUAAAACAACAUAUACCCAUAAAACAUGUUUUUAUGUUAAAAGCAUAGUCGUUCCUUGGCGUUGGCUGAGAUUCACUCUCACGUGGUGGUUCAGCAUAAAGUGAACUCUAACGUUACCUUAGGAGAUACCCUCUGUGCCUCUUAUACCAAGGUAAAAUAUAACGGGGUUUAUCGUGCCCCUCUCAUAGGCCGGUCCACGAAAACUCGCCCACUACAGUAAGCUAAUCAAAUAACCCACUAAUUCAAUAAACUUUUCGACAGCAUGACAUGGCUAAUAUAAUAUUACCAGCCUGUCAAGGCAAAGCAAAACAGUUCAUAUAUUCCACAUAAACAGAAAUCCAGCCAUGAUUGCCAUCACAUUGUCAUAAACCAUCAAUUCAAACCAUAUGUCAAAACAUAUAUAUAACACAAGUAUACAGUCUCCACUUACUCAAUUUCCAAAACCAGUAUUCAAUUUCAAAAUAGUUAUAAAUCUCAUUUCAUUUAACCAACACUUUAACUAUAAAACAUAAUAGUUUGCAAUUUAAAUUCAUUGUUCUUUAAAACCUAAAAACGAGUAUAAACAACUUUAGAUAGUUAAGAUGAUCGUUUGAUUACUCACAAUAGCGGGAGUUUGGAGUGGUAGGAGUACUCCUAUUCGCGGUCCUCGAGUACGAUAUCUUUACCCUUAUUAGAGGGCUCACCACCUAUACAUAAUACACAACACGUAAUUUAAUAUAUUUGUGCCAAACUAUUAUAAAACUAUUUUAGGCUCUAUAUGAAUGCAUGACAUUGAAUGAGAAUUGUCCGAAUAAUCACUUAAAGACUGCAUUCUACGUGGGUUCAAUUGUGAUCGGAAUGAAUUUGUAUUCGAUCUAAUUCGAGCUAUACACCAUUGAUUUAACCAAAACAUUUGAUUCAACUCCAAAUAUAUUCAUUACACUCCCAAUAAUCUAAUAAACCAAAGCAUUACAACGAACUUUAUUUUUUACUAACUUCAACAUUUUUUGAAAUUCAUUCCGAUUCUGAACUAACAUACCAAUCAAUAUCUACACAGUCUCGUAAAUCCAUAUAUAUCAUUAGGAAUCAAAUCCAAGUCGAUUUACUAUGAUUUUCUCAGUUUCCAUCAAGCCAUUCUCUAAAGGAACUAUAUUUUUCAAUAAUCGGUUUUGAUAUCCAACAUCACAAUUCAUCAUUUCCUAGCUAAAUAACAUGAAUUACAACCAAAUCCAUCAUCAACAUGCCAUAUAGAAAAUUCGGCCAAAUGAGGGUUAUUGAAGGGCAUGUGAUUUUCUUGCUUGUUUUUCCUUCCAAACAUCACAAAAUGACUAAAAACACUAGGAUAUUAUGAAAUCUAGCAAAAUUCAUCACCAAAACUUCUCUCUCUAGAUUUGGCCAGCAAAGGUUCCCUAUUGAAAACUUGAAUUUCAGCCAUGGAGAGUGAAAAAAAUGCAUGGGAAAGGUAGAUCACAAGCUAAAAUUAAAAAAUCUUACCUUUACUUGCUUGAUUCCUUGAAAUCCAACAAUUUUCUUGAAUUUUUCCUUCCUAGGAUUUGUUCUUCUCUUUUUCUCUUUGUUCCCUUGCUUGGCCGGC
rnacentral:lncRNA from 1 species